CCUACGGGGCGCAGCAGUGGGGAAUAUUGCACAAUGGGGGAAACCCUGAUGCAGCGACGCCGCGUGUGGGAAGACGGUCCUCUGGAUUGUAAACCACUGUCCCCAGGGACGAAGAUGACGGUACCUGGGGAGGAAGCUCCGGCUAACUACGUGCCAGCAGCCGCGGUAAUACGUAGGGAGCAAGCGUUGUCCGGAAUUACUGGGUGUAAAGGGUGCGCAGGCGGCUCUGCAAGUCAGGCGUGAAAGCUAGGGGCUCAACCCCUAAACUGCGCUUGAAACUGUGGAGCUUGAGUGAAGUAGAGGCG
rnacentral:rRNA from 1 species